ensembl:lncRNA
UUGGCAUUUCCUGCGCUAAGUGCAGUAUUUUUUUAAUUUGUGUGUGUGUGAGAGAGAAACCGCAUGGCAUCAUUUAACCCCUCCUCCGCCAGCUGCACUCGAAACGCACUGCGUGCUCCGGGGCAGCACCGCCACCUGCCGGCCCGCUGCUCCCGGCCCCUCUCCCUCCCGCACGGUGCAGUCCGCCCUGCGCGGAGCGGAGCGGAGCGGAGCGCGGCUCACCGCGGGCUUUGCUGCACGGCCGGGCGGUUCCGGCAUCGGCCCGCAGCGUCCUGCGCUGCUCCCCGCCCCAGAGAAACGGCUCCGACGGUUCCUUGGAGUCGACAGCUUUAUUGGUACAGGGGCGGCUCGGUGACGCGCGUGCAGCCCCGUCCUUCGUGGAGGGCACCGAAGGGCUGUAGCGGCGUGAAAGGCACUGGGCGGCGUCCGCCCGCAGGGGGCUGUGACCGAGGGGUCGGCCGUCUGCCCCGGCACCGCGGGAGGGGGCGUUUCCUGGGCCGGUCCCUCCACCGCCCCGCAUCGGGACCGCCCGGGGGGUCCCACUCGCGGCCGCGGCCCCGUACCUCGUCCCUGGCUCCCGCGGGGCUGCGGCUCCGCUCGGGGUCGGGCUGUCUCCAGGUGCAGAGCCGUGGCCCCAAGAACAGUAUUUCCAGGAAUCCCCAACGUAGCGCCUAAGGGAUUCCUGGGAAAACUGGACCCUGAGAGCACGGCGACCGCGGCUCCCAGCGGCCCCCGCCCUGCACAGCUGCUCCUCUGGCCGCUCUGUGUGUGACCCAGCUGUCCCCACGCAGCAUUCGUGCCCUCCCCCCCCCCACAGAGCUGGGAGCUCUGGGAGUCCUGACCGGGCGUAGGGGUGUUCCUCUGCCUCAAAGCAAACCUCUCCUCCUCUGCCCUUCCCUCGCAGGAUACAGAGCAGAGGGGUGAGCCCUGCCCCAUGGCUGGGGGUCAGCAGCCCCUAUGGGAUCUUCAGGGGGACACGCUGCGUGUCUGCAGGCUCCGUUCUCUGUGCUUCUCCAUCAGAGGCAGUGUCCAAAAACACGGCUGGGAGAGCCCCUUCUCCCACAGUUGGGGACCCAGCCCCAGAGACAGAGGGGGGGGGGGGGCUGCAGGGCAGACCCCCACAUCCAGUCACAAGCUGUGCUCCCGUCUCACUGCGCAGUUCCCAUGUUCCGCUGGCAUCAGUGCUCCCAGCAGGCGGCAGUCCGGGGGGUGGUGGGGUCCCAGGGCACAGUUCCUCCCUUCCCGAGCUACAGUGCUUCAUCUCAGACUCCCAAUUGACCAGAGAUGCAGCACUGCACCUUGGGCUGGGAGACAUGGAGGAGCCCCCAGCUGCUCUCGAUGUGUGCUGUGCCACGCAUGGCUGUGUGUGGCUGUUCUGCCAGGCAUCGCGGCUGCAGGAUAGAUGAGGCUGGGGGCUGGUGGGGGGGAUGGGGCUGGGCUGGCUGCGGCAUCGCACAGAUAAACCUCUGUGCUUGGAGAAGGGCUGCACACCGCCCACUGCCGCAUCCCAACUGUGCGUCUGUGGGGCCGUAGGACCCGGAACCUGGCCCAGCACUGGGGAGUCACUGCCUGUAGUCUCAAACUACAUGGAUGUGGCUGCUGGGGUGGCUGUACAGUAUGGGGCCAGGAUGCCCCCGAGGUGAUGUGGGAUGCAGGUCUCACACAGUACAUUCUCCCUGCACUCUGUUCCUUUAUGUCCCCCGGGGGAUGAGGAGCAUGUGCAAGCCCUGCGGAGCCCUGUCCCUGUCUCCAUUCCUGUCCUCACCAGAGGAGCCUGCAGCUCCUCUGUGGGAAGGCUUCAGUGCUGGUCCUGGGAGCUCAGCCACAGGCAGGGCUGGAGGCUGUGGGACGGACACCCCCACCCCCCCGUGUGGGCUCAAGGGAGAGGGUCUGGGGAGAGAAGGAGGAGGAGAGGAUGGAGGGAGCAGCCGAGCACAGAAACAUCUCUUGCAGGCGAGCACUAACAUCCUGAGUAGCGCUAGAGCAUGAUAAACACACCAUCCAUCACAGCCAUGUCCCACUGCCGGCCCUGGAGCCGCGGUGCUCCCAGCAGCCUGACAAGAAGCAGAUGGUGCAGCUCCAGCACGACUCCCUGCAUCCGGCAUGGCCCCCCCUGAGCGCACCCAGCUGGGAAAUGGGCACCCACAGCCUCUGCUCGCUCCACGCUCCCCCAGCCGCCACCCCCCAGCUCCGCAGCCCCGAUUUAUUGGGAGAAAAGAAAGGGAAGAGGCUCACAGUGCCCCAAACUCCAUGCACAGAUCACGGCGUGAGUCACCCGGGAGGGAUGUCUGGGAGCCGCCUCUGCCAGUGCUGGCUGUCCCUGCUCCCAGCUCAGGCCAGGCCAGCCCUGAGCACUGGCCAAGUGUGGGAACAGCCACAGGGCUCAGUGCCAUGGGGCAGCACUGCUCACAGGCCCCUCCUGACGGCCCGCUGCCCCAUGGCAGAGCUCAGCCUCCCAGCCCCAUGCAUUCCUUGUGAGCAGCUCCUUGGGAAGGGACCAGACUGCUUUCAGCAGGAAGCUACCCCAGGCUCAGCACUGCCCAGGGAGCCAGCCCUGUUCAGGGGGCUGCUGGGUUUGUGCGUGCUGCUGCCAGCGCCCAAAGGGCAACCAGUGCAGGCAGUAUGCUGGCACACCAGCUCUGCCCUUCUCUCGCUGUCCGGGGAUGUACAGUCUCUGUUCACCUCCAGCAUCUCCAGUGAUGGCUGUGUCCCUGGGUACUCCCAUGGCCAAGGCUGUAAAAGACAGAGGGCGGCAGUCAGUGUGGAGCUGUGUGGGGCAGUGAGCUUUGGGGUCUCUGCAGGUAGCCCCUCGGUUGCCCGGCACCCCAAUGCACUGCGGGCAGUUUCCUGGUGCAGCACCGCAACUGGGGACUCAGUUCUGAUGUGAAGCAGGGGGCGAUCAGACACAUGGAGAGUGCCAUGCAUCCCUUGUAGGGCAAAGCACAGCCCAUCUCCUGCCUGGCCCAGCACGCCCACCCCCCAGCUCUCCUCCCACUGCCCAUCACCACCCAGCCUCGGGCUCCCUUCCCCAUGAGCCAGACAUCGCCCAGCCCUGACUGUGCCCCGCCAGCAAGACAGGGUCCCCAAGCCACACCGGCAGCUCAGUGCACACACAAAGCUUUGCAAUGAGCACAGCAUUCAGAACCUCCUUUCUCAGAUGGGGAUCUUCUCCGGCACAGCCAGCUGUCCCCCUUGCAGCAGCGCCGGUGAACUCCCUGCCAAAGCCGGGUACAGCAGGCAGCUGACGUUUGGGCACGGAGCCUCUGUUCAGCUUCAGCCCAGUACACCCUGCUCCAUGCACUGUCCCCAGCCCCAGAGAGCCAGCAGAGGUGCCUUGCCCCAACCCUGCGUGGGAGGCCUGGGGAUGGCCCCAUCCCCCACUGCCACCACCCCGACAGGCCCUGGCCAGUUCAGUGGGAAAGGCUGGAAUGGAGACUCCUCCCUGCCUGCAGUGUGGGGCCGGGGACCUCAGCUGCUGUCCCCAGGGAGUUGUUGGUGGGGGAAGGAAUGCCAUGGAAGGCCGAGGAAUGCACCAGGCUGUGCAUCCAUCCCACCGGGCUGGGAAGCAAAACAUCUUCUGGGAGCUCACUCUGCCCGGAGGGGGUCAUGGAGAAGGAGGUGCCCCCAUCUCUGUUGUGGUCUCCACGUUCUCAAGAGGGGCAAAAAGCCCAGCGUGGCAAGGCCUGCCCCGUCCCCUUCUUUCUGCUCUCGUUUCCCAGUUUCGCAUGGAAGCAGGGCUCACCCCGGUGUGCAUAUGGCUGCCACCCCCCGCGCCCCACACUCACACUGCUGCCUGCGAGAACUGCUGAGCGCAGUGCCCGGGGGCAGCGCAGCCACCAAAGUGCGGCCAGGCAGGGGGCUCUGCCCCUCCGACACACAUUGCCGGAGCCCAGCGCUCGACCCUCCCAGGGUGACAGCGUAUGAGGAGGGUCAGCCCGCAGGCAUCGCUGCUGCCCCCGGCCGUGCCGUGGGAACACUCAGAGCGGUAUCCCUCAGCCUUCCCACAGCCCCCGGCCACGCUCGCACGCCGCUCCCUGCUGCAGCGACCACGCACUUAUGAAUUCCAUCAGCCCCAGUUUGCUCAUCCCUCGCUCGCGUGGGCACGGAUGUGCCGCGUGGCUGCAGGGGAAGGGGAGCCGCCGGCCGCCACCGUGCGCCCCGUGCAGGGCCAGGCAGGCUGCUCCCUGUGCCCCCCCAUCCCACCGGCCCCGCUGGCGCUGCCCCGCGCUCCGACCCGCGCUCACCUCCGCCUCUGCUCCGCGGAGCCGCGUCCCCGGCUGGGCGAGCCGGCAAUGCUGGGCUGCGUCAGAGCCCUCCCCGCGGUUACAACACUGCGCCCUUUCCCCUCUCUGCAGUGGCCGCUCCUGCAGGAAAUGUCCUUUUUUAAUAACAGUUGGGAUUUGUUUCCUCCUUGAAAUUCCCCGGCCUUUUUCUCCGGCGGGGAGGGCCCCGUCCCAAGUAUUGCUUCAGCCUGGGCCUUGUGCUGGUGGAAGCCUCAGACCUCAGCAGGACUCUGUCCCACGCUAGUGGAGGACAGGAGCUCGGACGGCAUCAAGCCUCGUGCCCCCAUCUGGCCCCGGUGCCCCCCAGCCGAGCCACCCUCCUGGGGGUCCAGCUGUGACCCCCGGUGCCACCUCCAGCGGGAUGAGCCCCCACCGUGUGGCAGCCGGAGAGGUGAGCGCUGCCCGUGGGCACCAUGCGAGGUCCUUUCACAGUGCCGUCUCUGAUAGCAGAGGCUGGGACUGUAAAGGGGUCAGCUCUUGCUCGCUCAGCUCUGCGGGAACUGAAGCCACUGAGCUAUGAGAGCAGCCCCAGCCAAUGGGUGCCGCCUUCUAUGGCUCUGCAGGCAAGACCCGCUGGCCCAGGCAGCUCCUUCCCUAGGGCUGUGCAGAGCACCGGCCCAACCGGCACCUCCAUCCCGCCAGCCCCUAUGGCCUCCUCCCACCUUCCCUUGCCUGUGUAGUAUUAAAUCAAAGGUUUAUGAGAAAAUGAUGGGGCCAAGGGAGAUCCUAAUCUGGUCACAGGCUGAUUAACCCCGAGUUCAGGCUGCGGUCCUGAUGCUCGGCUAUAAAUAGCUCUGCCUUUCCUUUCCCAUCCUCCCGCCGGGGCUGCAGAAUUUCUGCCCUUUUAUGGUCAAAAAGGCAGAUUUGGAGCCCGUGCAGCCCACAUCUCCCAUGCUGGGGGCGAGCCAAGGGGGCCCAGGGGGAUGCUGCUCUUUCUCUGUGGGUUUUGCUGGGAUAAAUUAUGAUGCCAAGAACAAAGGAGCAGGUCUGGGGGAGGGGGGGGCUGCUUCUGAGUCUUGGAGCAGGGGAUGGGUCCGGAGGGGAGGGAUGCACCUGGUUUGUGCUCCCAGGGCACGCAGCCCCCUCCUGGAACCAAAUGGCUUCAUCUGGUGUCUCUGCAUCCCCAUCAGGGCUCGGGGUGGUGACGCCAUGGAGACAGCAGACAGGUGAGCAAUGUCUGCGAGUGCUACUUCCAGGCCGCCAACCCCAGUGGCACCUCCCUGUUGGUGACAGUGGGCGGCAGGAUAGUCCCUGUGCUCCUGGCAUGGCAGCUUCUGCCAGUGGGAAAAUGCCUUCCUGUCCCCACUGCAGCAUGGCUGGCCCUGCUGUGUCCAUGCAGGUGGACAGGUGCUGCUGGCUGUGCAGGGGGAGAAAUGCUGCACAGCACCACCGGAGCUCAGCAGGUCUGAAUGGGUGAUGGGAUCUGUGCAGACACAUGGCCAAGGAACAGCAGAACUGCGCAGCAGCCUGACCUCCUCUGCAGCUUCCAUCCAUCGCCUUUCCCACGGCCUCGCUUCUUCCUGCUGCCUCCCAGCCAGCCCCCAUAGCCCCUGUCCUUAUCUCGCUCCCCACGCAUGGCAGGACUCAGCCCCAUCUCCCCCAGCCUCCCCAUCCCAGCAGGACGGCACACUGGGGAUGGGGCACGGUGAGCCUGCCUGACACCCGGGGCAGCAGGAGCGUGGGAGCAGCCCGGGCCGGCCCUGCUGUGCUGUUUACAUGGCACAUUCCCGGUCCAGAGGAAGUGGUGCAGGGGUGAAGUCCCUGCGGGGGGUCCAUCACGUCAGCGGCCCCCAGCCCUCUGGGGGGAAAGGAGCCCAGAGCAAAGCUCCCCACUGAGACCUCUCCCACACAGCUCUGGCAGAAGCGGGACUGCUGCAGCAUCCACAGUGUUCCCUGCUGCCCCCAGCUCUGCUCCUCGCCCCUCCUGGCCAUGAGGCUCUCAGUCCCGGGGCACUGUAAGACACCACCAGCCAAGCUGCAGGUUUCUGUCCACAGAGGCAUGGCCUGGAGCUCACGGAGCUUAUCGGGGCUUUAUCAUUUCUGCUCCAGCAAAGGAGCGGGGGAACGCUGUGCAUGUGUGCAGCACAUCCUGCACGGAGCAGCCCCGUCUGAACAUCACCUCCCCAGCAUGGCCCCAGCUCGGCUCUCCCAAUCCCACUGAGCCCAGUUGGUAUGAGACGCCGAACUCUGAAAGAAAAUACCCCAAAUAUGCCAGAUCCCUGCAAGGAGACAAGGCACAGAGGAUGAUCCGGCACAACACUGAGCUCACGCUGCCUCUCAGGUUACCAUCUUCCUGCCAAGCUCUCAGAGCUGGGCUGCCCCAUGCACACCCUAUGGGACACGUGCCACAGCCACAACAGAAGGCAGAGCCCUGCACGGGCCCCAGGUGUACAGCACUGUGUUGAAACUGUGGCUGUCACACAGAAAAGCAGGAGCAUGAAAACAUGGCUGAGCCUGUCCUCAGCGGGACAGUUGAGUCCACAGCCACUGAUACAGCAAUCUGGGUGCUCCCUCUCAUUGUGGGAAUCCCUCCUUUGGUGUUCCCAUUCACAGCCCGGUGGGGCUGCAGAGGGCAGAGCCAGGCUGACAAAUGUAGGCAUGAGCUGCCCGCACACUGUUGGCUGCAGCAGAGGAGCAGCAGGAACAGCACCUUCCCAGCAGGCCCAGUGAGCGGAGCGGAUCCGUGAGCUCAGCUGUGGGUGAAAGGGAAAGGAAGGCAAAAUGUGUGGGGAUGGAACCCAGGCGAGGAGUCCCGGCUGGAGGGAAGACUUCUCCCCAGGUAGCAGCUGGCAGUGAGCUGCUCCUGCAGAGAGCACCACCACAGCCGGGUGUCCAGCACAGAGCACCUGCAUGAGGCACAGCGGGUCGCAGCCCCCACAUCCAACUCCCACGGGCUGCAGCCCCUCAUCUGAGGGAUGCCGCUCACCCACCUCCCUGCACCUCCCAGACCCCACAGUGGGGAACAUCCCCGCAGAGUGGGGGCAGGCACGCUCAUUCCCUACAGAGUGGGUGCACACAGCUCACUGCCGGCACCCACAGCCCCCGCUGCCCCACAGGGAGCCCCACAGGCACUGCUGGGACAUCCCACUGUCCUGCAGCCACAGGGAAAGCGUCUCAAUAGACCGCUUUCAUGGUGAUGCCCUGUGCAGCUCAUGCCCGCACACAGUGGGCACUGAACUGAUCCAGGGCUCUGCAGCACUACAGAAGUGCCCAUCCCCAUCAAAGCACGACAAUCCCCAACUCCUCCAGCCAGCACUGAGCAGCAUCCCUCACCUGUGCCCAGCAGUGGGAAGAUGCCUGCUUCAGCAUCCUCAGCCAUAGUGUUGGAGCAUGGGAUGGGUCCCACUGCACUGCUCUGCCCCAUGGGGCCAACUUUGCAUUGCGCUUUGUCUCUCCCUGCCCUGCGCUGGCCUACAGGUCUGUGUGCUGCUGACUCCAGGGGUGAGUAUGCAGCCAAGAUUUGGCUGCUGCUGCUGCUGGGAGAAGUCCCUGUCCCAUCCCAGGGCCUGGGCUGGGGUCACUGUGCUGCGAGAUGGGAACCACGGGUACCCCCAGUACCAUAUCCCUGGCACAGGGUCAGCCCUCGGCUUCUCCCCUUGGUCUCCAUGGCAGUGUCAUGCCAGCCUGGCACGUGCUGUGUUCUCUCUGAGUCAGAGUGCCCAGGGAGCUGUGGGGACACCCCAGAGCAGGCAGCCAGCACAGCCCCAGUGCCGUGCGGGGGGUGCCGGGUAGGAGAAAGGGCUCGGAGCGAGGGAGCAGCACUACCCGGCACCACUGGCUGCGGUGUGCUCUGGUUCCCAGCAGAGCCUCCCCCCCACACCAGGUCUGCUCUGCUUCCCUCCUCCGUGUGAGUGUGUGUGUGUAGCUGGCCAAGGUCAAAGGAUGGUGAAACGGCUCCAGAGCUCAGAUUUCCAGCCUCUUGCCUCAUCGUUUGCUAUCCGACUCCGGCGCGCUCCCACAGACAUGAGCAGCUUGUGCUGCUUCUCCCCCGCAUCGGUUUCAGCUCUGCAGCUGCACCCCACAGCACCCCACCGUGACUGCAGGGUGCCCAGCCUAGGCGGAUGCCCGCAGCUGUCAGCCCCUCUCCUGCCAUGGGCCUUACAGAGCAUUACAGCCCCGGUUCCCACUCAGCAUCACAGGGACGACGUGCUGCCCAAAGGCACCCACUCACCCACCCAUCCUGCUCAGCCCCCAUGGGGGUUGGGAUGGGCAGAGGCUUUGCUGGGGGUGAGCAGGAAAAUCCUGAUCAGGCACAAGGCUGAUCCUCUGUUGGAAUAGAAAGGGAGACCAAGAAAAUGAAAAAAAAAAAAAAAAAAAAGAAGGAAAAAAUAGCCCUUAAUCAUCUCCAGACUGCCUCUUGACAAGCGUGGAGGGAAAUGCCACUCCAUCCAGGAGUCACCCAGAGCUGCAGCCUGUCUAGACACAGCCUUCCCCAAAUUCCUGCUGAUAACUGCUUGGGAAAUCUGUGGCAGAGGCUUAUGUGUGUGUGUGUGUACUGGAAAUGAGCUCCUCUUCCAUCAGCAUGGUGCUGCAGGCUGGGGCCCGGGGCCAGGCAGGAACAGCACUGAGUCCCGUAUCUGGGGACAUGGGCACCGUGAUGGGGACAGCACAAAGGCACCGAGUGCCCCGUGCUCCCGGGCCAGGUGCUGCAGGGCUGGCAGCCACAGGGCUGGGGUCCUCACCGAGUGCCCACCCCUCUCUGUGCCUCAGUUUCCCCAUUGGUGCGGCAGGGAAAGAGCUGCGCGGGGGGAAUGUGAUGGGUCAGGUUCCUGGAGGAGACAUGUCUGAAAGUGAAACACCGGCAUGGCCUGUUGGAGCACCUGAUGAGUGCUUCAGUGCUUUCUAUGUGAAGUUUUGGUAUGUACGGAACCAAUAGUAACGCGAGCGUUGCAUGCGCACAGCCUGGAGAGCGAUGUGCACCGGGCUGACCUUCACCAGCACACAGAGGGCAAAACGAGCACAUCACUGGGGCCACAGCGCAGCUGAGCCUCUUCUCGCUGCCCACCAUGACCCCACUGCUGCUCUCUAGGGGCGCACAGCGGAACAGAGACAACCUGGGACUGUGGCACUGUGGUGUCCCAGAGACACUGAAGUGCCCCAGCCGCUGCCACCAUGCCCACUGCAGCCCCAGGGCCAGGCUGGGGGCCCAGGCAUGGCUCCUAUGCCGUGACCUCAGCCUGCUUCCCCCUGGCUGGCAUCCUCCUGCCCAGCAGCAGUGCCCAGCGAGCAGCCUUGUUCUUCUCCGAGCCGGCCCUACCCGGGCUUGUUACUGCCUUGCCGUUGUUCCUACCCCGGGUGCAUGCAGAGCAAUCCCUCCCCUCAUCCCACAGCACCACUCCUGCCUCCACACGGUUGCCCCACGUGCCACUCGCCCCACGCGCACCCCUCUGCAGCAUCACCGGGGCACAUCUGGGGCUCCUCCGCUCCAUACUGCACCGUGCCAGGGCACCCCACGCCAUCCCCUGCUGCUGCCCUCUGCCCCAUGCCAAGCCCGCCCCACACGUCCCGCGGGCACCUACCUGCUGCCCUUUCCCACAUCACCACGGGGUGUGGGCACGCAACCGCCACCUCCUCCUGUCCCAUUAUAACCGCCACUGCGGCCCCACGCUGCCUGCUGGGGUUUUUUAAGCAGCUGGCAUGGGAGUGCUGGGCGAAAACUCCUUCCAUGCGGCUCAGAAGCUGGAAAACCUUUUUCUUUUUACCUUAUA